rnacentral:lncRNA from 1 species
UAAUAAAUGUUUUAACAAGAGGCUGUCACAACGACAGCAAACCGGAUUUAUUAACAUUUAUUUGUGUCCUGGCAAUAUCACAAGAACCAUUACUGAUGAAUGGUGAAAGUGAAAAUCAUCAAUAUCAAAUUUGACCUCCAUUUUGUAGUCAGUAUCAACAUAUUAAAAUUUGAAAAGCUUAGAUUGAAUGGUUCAUGAGUAAAUACAACAACCUGAAUGGAAACGCCAUUUUACGAUCUUUCAAGAACCAUAACUCCUGAACGGUAAAAGUCAAAAUCGUCAUUAUUGAACUUGACCUCUAUUUUGUCAUCAGUAACAACAUAUUAAAAUUUCAAAAGCUUUGGUUGAAUGGUUCAUGAGAAAAUGCACGGACACGACGGGAAAAACCAUUUUUCAAUCUUUCAAGAACCAUAACUCCUGAACGGUAAAAGUCAAAAUAGUCAUUAUUGAACUUGACCUCCAUU